UCGUAAAUGUGUUAUUUAUUUUAUUAUUUUAUUUUGAUUUAAUUAAUUGGCAUAUUUGUGUGUUUUAUGUGUUAAUUAGGAUGUCAAUUUAUUGAGCUAGUCAUGUAUGAGCCCAUUUUAGUGCAAGGGUAAAAUGGUAAUGUGGCAAGGUGGGGAAAACUUAAUCUAUGAUUAUGUAAGGUUAAGUUAGAGAGAGAGAGGUCAAAAAUAAAAUAAAAUUGAGAAUUGAGAAGAGGUAGAGAUAGAAAAGAAGCGUAGAGAAAGAAGAGAAAAGAGAAAGAAAAGGGUUUGGGAGAAAGUUAGAGAGGAAGAAUAAGAAGAUGAACAAAGAGAAAGAAGAGGAACUCAAGGAUUGAUCAAGUCAACUUACCAACAUUUCUCCAUUUUAUUAGAGUUUCUCAGGUGUUGCGUUUUGGUGUUCGUGUUCCGGUGUAGCCUCGCUCUGAUUUGGACACAUAGGGAGGGUGUAUAGUAUUUCAAUUUUAUUUAUAUUGUCUAGGUUAAGACAUAGAAAUGUAUAAGUCACUAGUAAAAGAUUUUCAUCUAAUGCACGUGUAUACUAAUUAAAUUUAUAGCAAUGUAAUUUGGGAAUAGUAAUACCCUAAUUCAUAAUAUUCCUCUA